UGUUGACGUAUAAUGUGUUGCCUAGUCUCUUUCAUCAGAUCGGUCUUUUGGUUGCAUUGGCUAGAGCAUGCACUUCUACAUGGUAUCAGAGCCAAGAGGUCUCGAGUUCAAGACCCGGCUGGCGCAAUUAAAUUGCAGCCCACUAUCGGUCCACGUUUAGGCCUGAGGGAGCCACACGUGAGGGGGAGUGUUGACGUAUAGUGUGCUGCCUAGUCUCUUUCAUCAGAUCGGUCUUUUGGUUGCAUUGGCUAGAGCAUGCACUUCUAC
rnacentral:lncRNA from 1 species